AGAGGGAAAACAUUUGCAGUGGAAAAGCUUAAAAGCACGUCUUAUUUUUAUUAGCAUCCACUUCUUUUCUGAAAGGCUAAUUGUAAAAUUUAUAGAGCUAAUUAUCUCUCUAGAUUAAUAUUUAUGAACACACAAUAGCAAAUGUGAGUUCCAAGUGUUGUAUUAAGCAUUGGCUUUUCUCCCUUCACACAUACAAGCAAACAGCAGAUAGCUCAAGGUGAUGUUAAUAUUCUCUCUACAAUGUAUGUAAACAGUCAUGCCAAAUUUUUCUUCCCAAUUGCUGCAAAUUGGUAUUUACCCAGCAACUGCAAACUAUUUUUAACAGUUAAUACUCCUGAAAUGUAUGGGGACCUUUCUGCAAUAUGACGGAGAGCUUGCAAAAUCAAUUGCAUAAAGGCUCCCCUAAUCAAACACCAAGGAGCAAGACUCCUCUUUAUUGACUCCUUUUAACCACAUUUUAUUCUUAUAAGAGACAGGAAAGAUAAUCAAAAGCACUUUGUUGUUCUUCCUGCACUUGGAAUAUGGAACUAAUGGUUCCUUCAUUUUCAGAAAUGGGAGAACAAGGUUAAACAUUGCCAAAAAAAAACCCACCCCACACUGCACUUUCAAAUAAAUCCAAGUGUGCUUACUCCAGCACACACUUACACCUAGCUGAACUCCCAAUUUUUAUGAGUAAAUCUAAGCUAGUUCUACUAUCCAUAUAAAAUGUGAAAUUUACAUGACCCAGGGUAAAGAAAGAUGUAGAGAGGAUAGGACAGGGACACAAUGAAAGCCAAGCUUGAUGACAAAUGAGUGGCCUUGGGCCAGUUCUGAAAGUCUGUGCUUUAUUGUUUCUGUCUAUAGACUAAGAGGUGUUUUGCUGUAUCAGGAAUUCCCAAUCAGGGAUUUGUGGCUUGGAAAGGGGGCAGUGGAUGAGCUUUAGGGAUUUUCUAACUCUCCUACCCAAAACCUCAUAGAAAUGUAUCAUAUAAAUCAGUAUAUGCCUAUUACUGGCUGUGAAUACCCACUGCUUUCAAUAAUUCUCAAAGGACUCCAGAAACUCAGAAAGGUUAUGAGCUAUUGCACAAGAUGACGUCCAAGAUCCCUUCCUAUUAUAAUUUUCUUCAAUUUUUGCUGCAUCUUUGCUCUAGUCUCCAGUUGCUUCAAUUGCACAGUCUGACUUUUAAUGCAAACUUAUUUCUCUCUAAGCUUCCUUUUUCUAAGACUUUAAAACUGUGCUGUUCAACAUGGCAGCCUCUAGCCACACAUGGCUUUUGAAAUUUAAAUUAGUUAAAAAGAAGAAAUUUAAAUUAGUUAAAGUGAACUAAACUUAAAAAUUCAGCCACUUAGUCACAUCAGUCACAUUUGAAAUGCUCAAUAGGCUCACGUGGCUUGUGGUUUCUGUACUGGACAACAUGGAUAUGGAACAUCUCCAUCAUUGCAGAAAGUUCUGUGUUUAAUAGUGCUUCUUUAAGACAGUGAUUUCUAAGCUGUCGUUCUUAGAAUCUACAUUUUUAAUGAACUCCCUGGGUGAUUCUGAUGCAGUGUCUGCACAUCAUGCUUGGAGAAACAGCACUAAGGCUAACACACAGAAGAGGACUGGAAGACAUAUUGAUCUUUUGUUUCUGGGUCUGUGAUGACUGCCCCACUGAUCAGUCUCUAUUACCAACAUCCUACUUCAGG
rnacentral:lncRNA from 1 species